CGUAGUAACAACGAACGAUGAGAAGUCAGCAGAGGUCAUAGUACCAUAUAGGCUUAAAACUUUAUGGGAAGGAC
rnacentral:ncRNA from 1 species